GGUGACUUAGCUCAAUUGGUAGAGUACUACGCUGAUACCGUAGCGGUUGGCAGUUCGAGUCCGCCAGUCACCA
rnacentral:tRNA from 1 species